UACGUAGGGUGCGAGCGUUGUCCGGAAUUAUUGGGCGUAAAGGGCUCGUAGGCGGUCUGUCGCGUCGGGAGUGAAAACUCAGGGCUUGACCCUGAGCCUGCUUCCGAUACGGGCAGACUAGAGGUAUGCAGGGGAGAACGGAAUUCCUGGUGUAGCGGUGGAAUGCGCAGAUAUCAGGAGGAACACCGGUGGCGAAGGCGGUUCUCUGGGCAUUACCUGACGCUGAGGAGCGAAAGUGUGGGGAGCGAACAGG
rnacentral:rRNA from 1 species